rnacentral:lncRNA from 1 species
GCAACAUCAAUUCUUCUUCAACUCAAUAUUCAAUUAAUUCUACUCAAUAAGACUACAAAUCUAUAAUUGAAAAAACAGAGCUACAAAUAAAAUAAAGCUACUGCCUCUGCUCGAUUUUUAAAAACAGAGCAACCAACAAAAAAAAAUUAAAGCUAUUGCCUGACUGCUUCUCAAAUCAAAUAAAUUUAAGCAACUUAGCAGAAUUGCGGAUUAAUUUUUUGUUGUUUUAUCUGUGCAGGUUAAUUUAAGCAACUGGACGUGCAAAUUCUGCUCAUAAAGUGGCUCCUUCAGCGCCAGAAACAAGGCAUAUUUAAUUCAAUUGGUAAUACCAAUUUUGACUGGUAUUUCCCAAGACAAAUGAUCCUUGUCUCAAGAAGCUCACUGUUGCAUUUGAGCUUUAAAAAACGUGAAUGGCUUUUACGUUUCCAAAUGUAUAACAGCAUGCUGGACCCAAAAACGAGAUUGAGAGCUUCCAGGUAGUAAUUUAACAGCAUGACUGACUCUUUUUUUUUUACUGUUCACAGGUACGGAAAAAAAACAGUGUGACUGGAGUGAAUACUUUUUACUGUUCAAUGGUACUGGUCGAAAAAACAGAGGGCUCUAUUUUUUGACACUGAAAAAAAAAAUUGUCGACUGGUCGACUGGAAGAAGAAGGGAAAAAGAAGAAAAAAGAAAGAGAGAAGAAGGAAGAAGGAAGAAGGAAGAAGGAAGAAGGAAGAAGGA